rnacentral:siRNA from 1 species
AUCUACAUCUUGGUUGUCGGCAC